AAUAAACCCUGAUUUUCCGUGUCCAACGUUUGACCAUCCGUUUUAUUUGAAAAAAUUAAAAAGAUAAGUCACGCAUAAAGUAUUAAUCAUAUUUUAUCAUCUAACAACAAUGAAAAUACUGAUUAUAAAAAAAUCUCAUAUAAGACGGACAGUCAAACGUUGGACANAGUCAC
rfam:Oryza meridionalis cultivar OR44 (W2112) chromosome 6, whole genome shotgun sequence.